CCGAACGCAAAGUUACCCUAAGAGCGAAGAGCCUGGUAACCCAGAUGCGAGGUUACCUUAAGGGCUGAAGAAGACUGCUCGGUAACCCGAACAGAGGUUACCCUAAGAGCGAAGAGCCUGGUAACCCGAACGCAAGGUUACCUUAAGGGUAAAAGACAACCCGGUAACCCGAACACGAGGUUACCUUAAGGGAAGAACACCGCUCAUACCACG
rnacentral:lncRNA from 1 species